AAAAACAGGACACCAAAUGUGAUGUAGCAGAAAGAGUGGGAAAAUAAAACAAAACAGAACAGAACAGAAAGCGCUUCCCAAUGAAUAUCUUUUAUCUCAGCAGAAAUGCCGACUCUAACGAGAUGAUGAGGCAAGAGCCGAUGAAGCCAUCCCCAGAGAAGAAUGGCGAACGGUUGGCGCUUUUGAUCUGUGCCUGCCUUUGUGUGCAACGCUUGCAGUGCUUCUGUGCCCACUAAUGGAAGACGACGCAAUAUGGCUUGUUUUCCGUGAUGUUCUUCUACGAGAAUUCCAACUACUGUUCCCUAGUGCAGCUUUGGCAACGCUAUCAGUUGCCACUUCUCGAGCUCUCUGUGCUUUGAUGGCUUGUUUGUUUAGAUAAACAAGGUUUGGAAGAAGGCCAGCAACUGCCUUGCGUAGCUGCUCAUCGCUCACAUUACUUUGAAUUGGAUUCCCCAACAGAUUAAGAGCUUGAAGAGAGUUAUAAUUGGCAACAAGUUGGCCCAGAGCUUUGGUUGUUGAAAUCUUGUUAAAGCUUAGGUCGAGAACUGUCAGCUUCAAGAUUCGAUGCAGUCCCUCAACAUCACUUAUCUUGUUGCCAGCAAGAUAGAGUUCUUUGAUAAUCGUACAGUUCGACAACCCAUGUCCUAUGCG
rnacentral:misc_RNA from 1 species